rnacentral:tmRNA from 1 species
GGGGUUGUACUGGUUUCGACAGGGAUUUUGAAAUCCCGGCAGCCAUCCGUGGUCCGUGAUCCACGUUAAAAGUGCGGAAAAAAAUAAACGCUGAAAAUAGAACAACAGCACUCGCUGCCUAAGUGCAGCUGUCGGCCCGAGGAUCAUCCGCUGUCCACGGAACCCGGCAUCAAAGAGGCGGAGAACGUUCUUCCCAAAGCUUUGCGGGUUGAAACGAAUUAUGAAGCUACCGGACUUUGCAGCUUGUCUUUGGGCGGCAGAGCGAGGGAAUCCUAAAGCAUAGACUGUGAUGGGAGAUACCGGUAUGGAAGGGUCUUUGGACGCGGGUUCGAUUCCCGCCAGCUCCA